CCUACGGGUCGCACCAGUGGGGAAUAUUGCACAAUGGGCGCAAGCCUGACGCAGCCAUGCCGCGUGUGUGAAGAAGGUCUUCGGGUUGUAAAGCACUUUCAGCGGGGAGGAAGGCGGUGAGGUUAAUAACCUCAUCGAUUGACGUUACCCGCAGAAGAAGCACCGGCUAACUCCGUGCCAGCAGCCGCGGUAAUACGGAGGGUGCAAGCGUUAAUCGGAAUUACUGGGCGUAAAGCGCACGCAGGCGGUCUGUCAAGUCGGAUGUGAAAUCCCCGGGCUCAACCUGGGAACUGCAUUCGAAGCUGGCAGGCUAGUGUCUUGUAGAGGGGGGUAGAAUUUCAGGUGUAGCGGUGAAAUGCGUAGAGAUCUGGAGGAAUACCGAUGGCGAAGGCAGCCAUCUGGCCUAACACUGACGCUGAGGUGCGAAAGCAUGGGGAGCAAACAGGAUUAGAUACCCGUGUAGUC
rnacentral:rRNA from 1 species